rnacentral:misc_RNA from 1 species
GAUGAAGAACGCAGCGAAAUGCGAUAAGUAAUGUGAAUUGCAGAAUUCAGUGAAUCAUCGAAUCUUUGAACGCACAUUGCGCCCCCUGGCAUUCCGGGGGGCAUGCCUGUCCGAGCGUCAUUGCUGCCCUCAAGCACGGCUUGUGUGUUGGGCCUCCGUCCUCCUCCCGGGGGACGGGCCCGAAAGGCAGCGGCGGCACCGCGUCCGGUCCUCGAGCGUAUGGGGCUUCGUCACCCGCUCUUGUAGGCCCGGCCGGCGCUUGCCGACACAUCAAUCUUUUUUCCAGGUUGACCUCGGAUCAGGUAGGACUACCCGCUGAACUUAAGCAUAUCAAUAAGCGGAGGA